rnacentral:tRNA from 1 species
GCCAGAGUAGCUCAAUGGUAGAGCAAGCGCAUCGUAAGCGUUAGGUUGAGGGUUCGAUUCCCUCCUCUGGCUCCA